GUCUAUGGCCAUGCUACCCUGAACAAGCCCGAUCCCGUCUGAUCUCAGGAGCUAAGCAGGGUCAGGUCUGGUUAGUACUUGGAUGGGAGACCAACUAGUAAAACCACAUGCUGUAGGCA
rnacentral:rRNA from 1 species